rnacentral:rRNA from 1 species
CAGUAGCCGCGGGAAUACGUAGGAGGCAGGCGUUGUCCGGAAUUAUUGGGCGUAAAGGGCUCGCAGGCGGUUUCUUAAGUCCGAUGUGAAAGCCCCCGGCUCAACCGGGGAGGGUCAUUGGAAACUGGGGAACUUGAGUGCAGAAGAGGAGAGUGGAAUUCCACGUGUAGCGGUGAAAUGCGUAGAGAUGUGGAGGAACACCAGUGGCGAAGGCGACUCUCUGGUCUGUAACUGACGCUGAGGAGCGAAAGCGUGGGGAGCGAACAGGAUUAGAUACCCCAGUAGUCCCUGUCUCUUAUAC